rnacentral:lncRNA from 1 species
GCACAUUUGGAAGAUGGGUUUUUGUGUUACUGGUUUUAUGUGUUGAUUUGUAAUGAUAAGUGUGUUUUUUUUUUUACUUUUGCAGCAAUCGAUGAUGUACCCUUUAUGAUUUCUGAGAGGUUUGCUCAGAAAGUCGUCAGAGAAACACAGUCAGUCAAUUUAAUGGGCAUUACCAUCAAAUCCCCACCAGAGAUCGAGGAGGAAGUAAGUAGAGGCCUUGCCGCUCGGGUAGCGCUCCCGUCCAGGGCCAACAAUGCAAAGCGCGCAGUCCCGUGUGGGAUAAUUAAGAGCUUUAGAUGGGCGAAAGACCUUUUCAGUCUUAAUAAAACUGAGCCUGAGAAGACCUGCUCUCACAUUCACACUGUAUACAGAAGCAGAAAAAAAAGUUACAUAUACUAUACAGCAACAUACAGCAAAAACUGAGUAAAAAAAAAAAAACAACUAGG